rnacentral:rRNA from 1 species
UACGAAGGGGGCUAGCGUUGUUCGGAAUUACUGGGCGUAAAGGGCGCGUAGGCGGCACUGUUAGUCAGGCGUGAAAGUCCUGGGCUCAACCUGGGAACUGCGCUUGAUACGGCAGAGCUAGAGGAUGGAAGAGGCUCGCGGAAUUCCCAGUGUAGAGGUGAAAUUCGUAGAUAUUGGGAAGAACACCGGUGGCGAAGGCGGCGAGCUGGUCCAUUACUGACGCUGAGGCGCGACAGCGUGGGGGAGCAAACAGG